rnacentral:rRNA from 1 species
UACGAAGGGGGGCUAGCGUUGCUCGGAAUUACUGGGCGUAAAGCGCACGUAGGCGGUUUCUUAAGUCGGGGGGUGAAAUCCUGGAGCUCAACUCCAGAACUGCCUUCGAUACUGAGAGACUUGAGUUCGGGAGAGGUGAGUGGAACUGCGAGUGUAGAGGUGAAAUUCGUAGAUAUUCGCAAGAACACCAGUGGCGAAGGCGGCUCACUGGCCCGAUACUGACGCUGAGGUGCGAAAGCGUGGGGGAGCAAACAGG